AGCCUACGGGGGGCAGCAGUGGGGAAUAUUGCACAAUGGGGGAAACCCUGAUGCAGCGACGCCGCGUGAGCGAUGAAGUAUUUCGGUAUGUAAAGCUCUAUCAGCAGGGAAGAAAAUGACGGUACCUGACUAAGAAGCCCCGGCUAACUACGUGCCAGCAGCCGCGGUAAUACGUAGGGGGCAAGCGUUAUCCGGAUUUACUGGGUGUAAAGGGAGCGUAGACGGUCCUGUAAGCCAGAUGUGAAAGCCCGGGGCUCAACCCCGGGACUGCAUUUGGAACUGUACGGCUAGAGUGUCGGCGAGGC
rnacentral:rRNA from 1 species